AAUACAUUUAAAUAAAAUACCUUUAAAAUAAACCAUUGCAUAUUAUAUUAUUAUUAUAUUAUACUUUAUUUAACAAGUCAGUUAAGAACUUAUUUACAAUUAUGGCCUAACCGUACCGAACCCGGACAAUGCUGGGACAAUUGUGCGCCGCCCUAUGGGCAGACUGCAGAGUCCUGCAACAUCUCAACACACUUCCCACAGCUAUUAUUCUAUCAGGAAAUAAAUGAAGAAGUGCAAUGCUGGAGAGAUGAGUUGUCUGGCUCAUGUCUAUAACAGCACAGAGAGGGAGAGAGAUCAUAGAAUGUGAAUCUCAUUUUAGUUCUGUGAGAGAUACAGGCGUGCUUCUCUCACCACAGCAAUGGCCACACCUUGGUCUAAAUAGGCUACAAUGUUGCACAAACCAUUAACCUGGUUCGGCCCAACAUUAAUACAUUCUUAGAACAUCACGUUUUCACUUUAUGUUUUUUAGGGGGCACGAUAAUUACAGAGGAAUCCAAAAUGUAAUUAGGAUUUUUACAUUGCAAACAGUAGAAAUUAUUUUUCAUGCCAGAAGAGGUAGGCUACCUGAGAGGUACCGGAGGAUCUGCCUCAAAUGAAGCACCGCCCUUCUCAUAUUAUGGGGUAGGGCCAUCCCAAGGAUCCCUGAAUGCACGGACGGUUGCAACAAAUAUUUUUUUUAUAACUAAACCAAGAUAGAUUACAACUAGUCGUUUCUGAUGGGGAACAGAUUAGUCAUACUGGGCAGUGCCAAGCACGAGCUACCGAGAUCCUAUUGGUGCGUAUUUCUUUAUAUUUAUGUUAGUCAAUGCCGCCUCUGAAGCGGUGAGUGUGCUAUAACUCAAUUCGCCUUUACAUUCCUUCUAAACAAAGACAUUUAAAAAAAAAAACUUUUGCAAAGGGAAAAGUCUACAAAACUUAGUCCACUCUGUUCAUUUUGAACAGAACUCUAUUAAGAUCAGAUGUUUCAUCGAUUAGAACAUUUGCAGAAUGUCGGACAAUAUCCAUCUCGUUACAUCUUCUCCCACUGCCUGUCAGCGGGCUUCCUCUCGCUACCAUAUUUGGUAGUGAGUGGAAACGCUAAGCGGAUGCUUCACAUUUAUACAUCUGGUGAAAUAUCUGUCUCCUUGUUCUAACUGUGGCUGCACUGUGGUAGUGGGGGAACAGGAAGUUCGGGGCUGGCACGCACCAUUCUUCAUAAUAAAUAUUUAUCUCCAGAACUGUCAUGUUAAGUAGUAUACUAUAUUGUGUAUUACUACAGGUAUGUAGUAGCAGGUUUAAACUUCCUAAUAUCAAAACAUUCAUACCAUGCUAGGUAACAAGGUAUUAUCACAUUUGGUAAAGGUUUCAUGUGUUAUUUUUGUGUCAAACCAAAUGAAGAACAUGAUAACUAUUUUACAAGCUACAUAGCUAGAGACUUUGGGAUUGUCUGAGAGUAUGUACAUAAUUUUCUCUAAAUAAUUUCAUAAUCAAUUUUUUUGAGAUUUCUUGGUUUGUUUUGCAUGUUAUUGGUUUUGUGUAAAAUUCACAAGCUGGGAAAACCACGGCGCCCACUCUGUCUGCGUCAAAGAGAGACAAUUUUAUGUAGUCAUAUUCAGACACAUUCAGUUUCUUUGUCUAUAAAUAAAUGUUAAUAUGGUGUGAACGGAAAUACUAUUGGUUUUGAAUUGAAAUAAUACACGAAGAAAAGGUUAUUCAGGAAAAUAGUACAUAGUGCUGCCUGCAACAUACUGCAACCUUGUACUAAAUGGUUUUUGAGUCAUUUAUUAAUUUGUGUAAAUUCAAGAAAUCUACUAUGGGUUAAGUUUAGUUACAUUGUGUAGCGUGUACUUUGUCUAAUUUUGAAUGAAUUCAUGUUUUGUUGUCAAUGCUCACCUACCUGAUCUAUUGAAAUGAGAUGGACUGGAGCUCACUGGAGCAGAGUACCAGGAGCUGAGUACUGGCACCUCAAUGUUCUACUGCUUGAGCUCAUGUUCCUCUUCUAGAAUAUUACCUCAACAGUAUUGUGGAGCUCCUGCAUCUAAAUAUAAACAGUACCGGUACAUAUUUCAGUCCAAGUUUAGCACUGAAUUAGAUAAUUGAACAAGAAAAAAUAUAAUAUAUUUUAAUAGAGAAUAAAGAACGUGCCAGAAAUGUCAACACAAUAACUUUUAGUCUGUUUCUCAAUGUUACUGCAGGACGACUAGAAUUAAGUCUGGGGCCGGUAACAUCAACAGUGACGACAAACCCAGCCUGCCUCUCUCCUUCCACACUGAGUCCAAACCCACAGUCACUGGGUCCUGAUUGUGACAGUGGAACCCAGUUUGCACUGCAGGAUCCAGAGAUGGCAUCAGUGAAGCUGGAAGACUGCAGUCAAACACUGGAGCUGAAUGUCAACAUUAAAGAUGAAGAAGAGGAGGAGAAGAUUUGGAAAUCUGUUUCUCAUGGAGACCAUGUUGAGACAUUCUCUACAUCCAGAGAGCAUCAGCAGGAAGAUCACAUAGCAAAGAGGUCUCACCACUGCACACAUUGUGAGGAGAUUUUCCCAUUUCUAUCAAAGCUAAAAAUACACCUAAAAAUACACACAGGAGAGAAGCCUUACUCCUGCUCUGAAUGUGGAAAAUGCUUCAAAACAUCAACAUCACUAAAACGUCAUCUUAGAACACACACAGGAGAGAAGCCUUACUUCUGCUCUGACUGUGGAAGGAGUUUCUCUCAACUGGGCCACCUAAAAAGACACGAGCGUUUACACGCAGGAGAGAAGCCUUACUCCUGCUCUGACUGUGGGGCGAGUUUCUCUCAACUGGGUACCUUAAAAAAACAUGAACGUAUACACACAGGAGAGAAGCCUUACUUCUGCUCUGACUGUGGAAAGAGUUUCUCUCAACUGGGUACCUUAAAACAACAUGAACUAAUACACACAGGAGAGAAGCCUUACUCCUGCUCUGACUGCGGGGCUUGUUUCUCUCAUCGGAACAACUUAAAACAUCAUGAACAUAUGCACACAGGAGAGAAGCCUUACUCCUGCUCUGUCUGUGUAAAAUGCUUCAAAACGUCAACUGCGCUAAAAGUUCAUCAUGGAACACACAGAGCAGAGAAGCCUUUCUUCUGCUCUGACUGUGGAAAGAGUUUCUCUCGUCGGGAUACCUUAAAAAAACAUGAACGUAUACACACAGGAGAGAAGCCUUACUUCUGCUCUGACUGUGGAAAGAGUUUCUCUCAACUGGGUACCUUAAAAAAACAUGAACAUAUACACACAGGAAAUAAGCCUUUCUCCUGCUCUGAAUGUGGAAAAUGCUUCAAAACAUCAACAUCACUAAAACUUCAUCUUAGAACACACACAGGAGAGAAGCCUUACUCCUGCUCUGACUGCGGGGCAUGUUUCUCUCAUCGGAACAACUUAAAACGUCAUGAACAUAUGCACACAGGAGAGAAGCCUUACUCCUGCUCUGACUGUGGAAAGAGUUUCUCUCAUCGGGAUACCUUAAAACAACAUGAACGUAUACACACCGGAGAGAAGCCUUACUCCUGCUCUGAAUGUGGAAAGAGUUUCUCUCAACUGGGUACCUUAAAACAACAUGAACGUAUACACAAAGGAGAGAAGCCUUACUCCUGCUCUGACUGUGGAAAGAGUUUCCAUCAACUGGGUACCUUAAAACAACAUGAACGUAUACACAAAGGAGAGAAGCCUUACUCCUGCUCUGACUGUGGAAAGAGUUUCCAUCAACUGGGUACCUUAAAACAACAUGAACGUAUACACACAGGAGAGAAGCCUUACUCCUGCUCUGACUGUGGAAAGAGUUUCACUUACCUGGGCAACUUAAAACAACAUGAACGCAUACACACAGGAGAGAAGCCUUACUUCUGCCCAGACUGUGGGAAGAAUUUCUCUCACCUGGGCACCUUAAAACAACAUGAACGUAUACACAAAGGAGAGAAGCCUUACUCCUGCUCUGACUUUGAAAAGAGUUUCUCUCAGGAGUAAGAGAAGCCUUACUCCUUUUCUGACUGUGGGUUAAGUUUCUCUCGCCCGGACACCUUAAAAUGACCUGAACAUAUACACACUGGAGAGAAGCCUUACUCCUGCUCCGACUGUGGAAAGUGUUUCUCUUGAAUGUGCUAUUUAAAAAGACACCAAAGGAAACACGAGAGGAGCCUUACCACUGAUCUGACUGUAGGAAAUGUUAAAACACCAGCUGAGCUUUAAGGUCAUUAGAGAAAAGACAAAGGAGAGAAGCCUUAUUUCCGCUCUCAAUGUGGCAAGAGUUUUUCCCAAUUGGGCAAUGUAAAAACACACCAACGGAUACACACUUCAGAGAAGCCUUAUCACUGCACUGACUGUGGGAAGAGGUUCUACAGAUUGGGUCAUUUAAAAAGACACAAAUGUAUACAUAAAGGACAGGCCUCAUCAGUUCUCUCAGACCAGCUAAGAUUAGACACUCCAUUUAAUUCUCAUGUCAUUAAAUAAUUGGCAACGUUGAAUUUGAUCAAAUGAAGAAAGUGUAGAACACUAUUGUAAUCCUAUAGUUUCUCACUGUGAGAGAACAAUGCAGAGGAAAGGGAGCAUUAUAGAAUGUUAGUCUCUCUUUACUGAUCAGUGUGUACCUUGUCAGUUUUGGUGUGAGAGAGAAUAAAGUAGACGGUGCACGUCAAAACAUUUGAUUUAUGACCCUAUGUCCGGAUGACGUGUGCAUGCCCAUAUUUGGUCAUCCGGUAAGGACAUCCUGGCGGGAAGUGAUCACGUGGUUAUGCCCAUAUAUGUUCAUCCUGUUCCUUUAGGUUGCGCAUGCUUAUUCCUUUUCAAAUUUGGGAUCUAAUGGAAUUGAAAAUGUUCCAGCUGUUGGACGCUCUCUUUGUACAGAGCCAACAGCGGCAGAGCAUUGUUCAUGUAAAGAAGUGCAUACUAUAUACGAAUCGGGAGGAUUAUGAUUCAAAGGAGCCCCAAGAAGGUACAUCCUCAGAAGGGACAGCCUCCGAAGAAAACUAAGUACGCGGUUGCGUUAACCACGCCCUGAUACCCAAAGGACUGGUUCAACAAUAAAAGGAGUGCCCUUAAAGCCUCCAGUUCUUCAUUUCAUCAUACACCAUGGAUAUUCAUACAACAUACCAGGACUGCGAUACGACAUGGGGGCCAGACCCUAAGGACUCUAUGCCUCUCAGCCCGGCUUUCUACUCCCCCCUGGCGAGACCCACGACACCCCCUACAUGUACACAGCCUGAGGACGUGUUUGAUGGGGUAGUCAGUACUAUUUUUGUGGACACUAUCAAGGCCUCUGUAGCCACACUUCUAGACGUGGUGAUUGGAGAAUAUAUAAGAGAGAAAUGCAUCGGUUGUGAGAUCAAUCACCCCAACAAGCGCCGUAUAUGACCCGCCAAGAUACUACUUCUUCAACCAAUUUGAGGAGCUGGUGAAAAGACUGUGGUCCUGCAGGUUUAUACCAUCGCUGGUCAGAGCCCUGGAGUCUAUGGGUCUUGUGCCGUCUAUCCCCAGAGUUUACUUGGUAACCACGGCAUUCCUACAUGAACUGAAGGAGGCAAUCUACAUCCACGAUAAACUCAAAGAAAUCCGACACACCCUGUUGGACGACAAUAAAUACCGGGAAGUUGUGGUGGCUGAUGUGAUGACUUUCUGGCUCAAUAAACCCCAAGAGACCGAGUGACAUUUUGUUAUUUAGAUGUAAUGCAAUGGGCAACUAUGUGUAUACGAUGUUAGAGAUAAUAAAUAAAUGUCUUCUUUUGUGAGAACUUACAAA